rnacentral:lncRNA from 1 species
UGACCACUAUCCUUGGAGCUACAUUCACCCUUUUCACUCGUCGGAUGCUUUGAAUUUUGCGAAUCAUUUAAACCAAAAUUCUGAAAAUUUGAUUUACCUCUCGCCGCAAAUUUUCCUUUCGACCUCUUAUUCUUCUCAUUGAAACGCGCUUGCAAAGCAAUCUCUGCUUUGGCUUUGUCGGCGCCUCUCUCAUCCAUCCUCUGUUUAUGUGCCUCUAACGAACUUUACAAUUCAUCCUUGCUCAAAGUUGUUAGAUCCUUUGAUUCUUCAAUAGCCACAACUAUGUUGUCGAAACGCGGCGUUAACGAACGCAAUACUUUCGAUACAACAUUCUGCUCAA